rnacentral:rRNA from 1 species
UACGGAGGAUGCAAGCGUUAUCCGGUAUUUUAUUUGGGUUUAAAGGGUGCGCAGGUUGUUUGAUAAGUCAGUGGUGAAAGUCUGUCGCUUAACGGUAGGAUUGCCAUUGAUACUGUUAGACUUGAAUAUGGAUGAGGUAGGCGGAAUGUGUAGUGUAGCGGUGAAAUGCAUAGAUAUUACACAGAACACCGAUUGCGAAGGCAGCUUACUAAUCCAUCAUUGACGCUGAGGCACGAAAGCGUGGGGGAUCAAA